UUGAACGCUGGCGGAAUGCUUUACACAUGCAAGUCGAACGGCAGCACGGGGGCAACCCUGGUGGCGAGUGGCGAACGGGUGAGAAAUACAUCGGAACGUGCCCGGUCGUGGGGGAUAACGUAGCGAAAGUUACGCUAAUACCGCAUACGAUCUGAGGAUGAAAGCGGGGGACCUUCGGGCCUCGCGCGAUCGGAGCGGCCGAUGUCAGAUUAGGUAGUUGGUGGGGUAAAGGCCUACCAAGCCGACGAUCUGUAGCUGGUCUGAGAGGACGACCAGCCACACUGGGACUGAGACACGGCCCAGACUCCUACGGGAGGCAGCAGUGGGGAAUUUUGGACAAUGGGCGCAAGCCUGAUCCAGCCAUUCCGCGUGCAGGACGAAGGCCUUCGGGUUGUAAACUGCUUUUGUAUGGAACGAAAAGGCUCUGGCUAAUACCUGGGGCUCAUGACGGUACCGUAAGAAUAAGCACCGGCUAACUACGUG
rnacentral:rRNA from 1 species